CCUACGGGGGGCUGCAGUGGGGAAUAUUGGACAAUGGGGGGAACCCUGAUCCAGCCAUGCCGCGUGUGUGAAGAAGGCCCUCGGGUUGUAAAGCACUUUCAGUGAGGAAGAACGCCUGGUGGUUAAUACCCAUCAGGAAAGACAUCACUCACAGAAGAAGCACCGGCUAACUCCGUGCCAGCAGCCGCGGUAAUACGGAGGGUGCGAGCGUUAAUCGGAAUUACUGGGCGUAAAGCGCGCGUAGGUGGCUUGAUAAGCCGGUUGUGAAAGCCCCGGGCUCAACCUGGGACCGGCAUCCGGAACUGUCAAGCUAGAGUGCAGGCGAGGACGGUAGAAUUCCCGGUGUAGCGGUGAAAUGCGUAGAGAUCGGGAGGCAUACCAGUGGCGAAGGCGGCCUUCUGGACUGACACUGACACUGAGGUGCGAAAGCGUGGGUAGCAAACAGGAUUAGAUACCCCAGUAGUC
rnacentral:rRNA from 1 species